AAUAAAGAUGAUGAAAAUGAUGAAAGAAGCCAAUAUUUAUGUGGUGACCAGUCUUCUGGUGCAUUGGUAGGUGGGUUCUACCAUGCAUGGAUUUGAAAUCUUGGCACACUGUGGAAAUAGCAAAGGAGAAACUGCAGGCACUCCAAAGGCUUAAAAACGAAUUCCAGACAUCCUCAAGAAACUCCCCCUCAUAGGAAAAUUAUUAGCUGCCAACUCCAGCCGGCUGAGACUCGGGCCAGCCUUGUUCAUCUGGAUGGAUUGUCAAGACCUAGCAGUUGAGCAUGAGCAACCUGUGGCCUGAAAGGUCCUUUUCAACCAUGAAGCUGUCGUGGGAACUCAGCCAUCUCGAUAGCGACAGGUGGUGAAACUGAGGAACAAAUACUUCAGUGAAUGCCCCGAGGUCUUGCUGCUCAUAGCAGCAGAGUCAGGAUGCGAACCCCAGUCUAUCCAGCCUGACAGCUCGACCAGCCCAUCCACAGUUCGUAAGCUGCUGUUCUUGGGCGCCACAGUGCCUCCAUGUGCGGGGGAAGCCUUUCUGCUCACAAGGAGGAGGGUCAGAAGAGGGUUCAGGUCUCUGGAGCCAUCAUACACCCCAACCACGGCAGCUUUGCUUUGAUUUCUCUCAUAAUUUAGGACUCUGGAAUCAGAUCUUGGUUGAGAGAAAAGAAAGGAGGAGGAUGGCGCUUUUAAAAGGGCUUGGAAAAUCACAGCGAACUCCCGCCACUUUGUAGACCAAAUCCCAAAGCCCUUGUCACUUCCCGUGACGCAGAGGUUUCAAUAAAGGACACCCGGUUCUAAGCUGAGAGACAGAAAGGUGGCAUUUGUUUGGGCCCGCCCACACCUACACAUGUGCACACACGUAUCCACACAGUCCCACAUCCUAUCUUUAUCCCCCGAUUCAUGCCCGUU